CCGAGCAAAGUGAAGUUUUGUAAGUGCUCUGUCGUCGCGGACUUUCCUCCUAAAAUAUCGUUUCUUGCGUUCUCGUUUCCGUAAAAAUCAUCCGAAAAGUGUCUCUCGAAAAUUCAUAAAGUUUACCGUUAUAUCAUCGCGACUGAAUGCUAAUCGUGCUGCUGGAGAGAUGCAUUUUUCGCGUGCACGUCAUCAAAAUCUGCAGCCAAAAUAAAGAGUGAAAACAAAGUCAUGUCUAACUUUCAAUUCGGUCAGUUUUCCGUAAAUCUUGACAUUUCGUGACGUCUCUGCUCCAAUAAGGUUCUGCAAUACGCCUGCCUGUAGCGAUAUUGCCCUUGUGCGCGCAGCAUUAGCGUAGAUUUAAAGGAACACGAUUCCGCCAAGGUGAAGGUCGGCCAAGAUACGCAUCUCCAGUGAAGAUUGCCUUGUCCGGGUCGAAAUAGUAAAAGUGCGCUGGCACCAGCAUACGCUCUGCUACGUAAUAGUGCUCUUUCGCGACCCGCGGCCCCUACAAAGCUGCCAGGAAAAUGCUUAUCCGGUAAAAGCGCUCGCAUGACGAAGAACUCUAUGUGACACGGUCGUCACCACGCUCGCCUUCAAUUAUUCAUUGCGGAAAGUAAAAGUGUUUAGCGGUAAAAUUGCCUUUGUGGAUCAUUCACCUUGUGCCGUCAUCGCGUCAACGUUCCCAAACCGCUUAGUGCCGCCCCGGCUACGAUGGGCAUUUGUCUGUGUAAGGACAAGGUCGAAGAUGGUCUGCCGCCAAAUGAACCGUUGUCAGGACAAACAGUCUCCAGCGGCUCGGAUCAGCCUUUGCCGCGAUAUUGCGCACUCGAGCACUACAACAAGAAGACAUUGCGAGAAACCGUCGACCAGCUGGUGGUGGAGACGUUGGACGUGAUUGGGACGAUAGUAGACAACGAGCCUGAACCGCCCAGUUCGAUGGUCCUCCUGCACAUAAUCACUGACAAGCCGGCCGGCUGGAUACAACUCGUGCAGUCGCUGAUCCGCGUCGUUCCCGUCGAACACCCGAUGGGCCCGAGCGUUAUUGCCUUACUUCUGGACGAUAGUCCUCUACCGACCAAAGAAUCCGUUCUCGAGGUGGCCGAUAUGAUAACCAGCUCUCUGGGACGAACGCCGCGAAAGGAGCGGAAUCUAUGCGUGAUAUUGGGCUGCCUGGCGGAGAAACUGGCGGGACCAAGCAGUAUUGCAAUGCUGUCCGAGACGACGCUCUCCUAUUUGAUCGGCAACUUGGAGGAUGGUGUCAAUCCGGACGUGCAAUUGCUAUCGUUAAUUGCUCUUGAGAAAUUUGCUCAAACUAGUGAAAAUAAGGCGACAAUAAAGAGGACGCUGGCGAAUCAUCCACACAACCCAUUACUGCGGCUAGAAACCAAGGCGAACAGCAGCGACUUCAUAACGAGGCAAAUUGGAUUCUGUGCGCGAUGGUGUCUGGAUAAUUAUUUUACUGUCGAAGGUCGAAAUUAUUCAUACGAAACAGUUGAUGUUUCAAAUGUAAACGUUAUGUUAAAUACAAAAGACGUAAGCGAAUAUCUGAAAAUCUCACCGGACGGCUUGGAGGCUCGAUGUGAUGCGUACACUUUUGAGAGUGUUCGAUGUACGUUCCAGGCGAGUUCCGGAUGCUGGUAUUAUGAAGUUCUAAUCAUAACACCGGGCGUAAUGCAAAUCGGUUGGGCAACAAAAGAUUCAAGUUUUCUAAGCGACGAUGGCUAUGGUAUUGGUGAUGAUAAAUACUCAAUUGCAUUUGAUGGGUGUCGUCGUUUAAUUUGGCAUAAUGCAAAGUCAAUAAGUCACCAAUUACCCGUAUGGCAUUCGGGUGCAAUUUUAGGCUGUUUAUUAGAUUUAGAUACACACGAAGUUAUAUUUAGUUUAGAUGGCGUUGAGAGUCCAGUGUUCAAGCAAGUUUUUAAUAAUGCAGUGAGCGGAUUCUUCGCUGCAGCUAGCUUUAUGUCGUUUCAGCAAUGUAGAUUCAAUUUUGGGGCAGAACCAUUUAGACAUCCACCCAAAAAUAGAAAUUUUAAGAAUUUUAAUGACAAUGCAACGUUGAAAGCCCAAGAUAAGGUUGUUCUUCCUAGACAUAUUUAUUUAGAGAAGCUCAGAAAAGUUAGUGUACGUGAUGAUUCCUGUACGAUAUGCUUCGAUAAGAAGGCCACAAUGCGGUUGGAACCAUGUAAACACAGGGGUUUCUGCAGCAGUUGUAGUCACCAAUUACAAUACUGCCCAAUGUGUCGGGCCGAUAUCGAAUGCGUUUUUCAGGAGGAAAUUGACAGUCCCGUCGUUGAAGAGUUCAUAACAUGAUAUCGCUACUUCGUAUAAGAGCAAAAAACUAUAACAAAAAAGAACAAAAAUCAUAUUCGCUAUAUGUAUUGUGCCGCUUUAAAGACAUUGCAGAGAUUUCCGAGAAAUACUUAAUCGAAUUAUCAACUUUUCUCAGUAUCAAAUCCAUGCAAAAAAAUACUAAAAUCAUGAAAUAGAACACACAGAAACAGGUUUUAACAAAAAUUUAGAAAUUUUAAUUAAUGUAAAUCGAAUAAGUGGCAAGAAGUCGGGCGGUUGAUGGAUUAUUGAUGGAAUGGGGGAGAGAAAUGAAAUAUAUAUUUUUAUGCGCAAUGCAAAUAUAUCAGUGAAGAACGUCGAAGUUUAUCGAGAAAAUAUGACAAUUUCGAUGGUUCUCAAGUCGAAAAAGUAUUCAAAUUCAAAUAGAUUCAAAGAUACAGACGAACCCAACACAGGACUCAUCUAUUCUCCGAAGAUAUCGGAGAGGCAGUAUUGAAUGCAAAUCAAUAACUUAAUAGCUCUGAAUGUGUAUUUGUUUGUCACCUUAUGGCUACGUGAAAAAGAUCUGAAUCUAGAAAGUACGUUCCGCAUUGUAGUCAUUUGUAAAUAUCAUCAAAUUGUUGUUUGAUUACGCUUAGUUUCGUUGUUGAAUUGAAGUCCUUUGUAAAUUUUGUACAUUGUAAAGACAAGAAAAGUUUUGAAAUUA
rnacentral:misc_RNA from 1 species